rnacentral:lncRNA from 1 species
CUACCCUAGUGGAGGACAGCCUCAGAGGUUGGGUUUCUUACCUGCUCGGUAGAGGACGCGGUCUCCGGCUCGUCCCGCCUCCCGCUGAUGGCCGAGUCCGGAAAAGACUGACUGGAGAAUGGGCGUGCUCGCAUGAUCGCCUCACCAAGGACGGACUUCUCGUCCCGCCCCUUCUCCUGCUUGCUUAAAUCCGUUGGGCUGCCCUCCUGUCCGUCAGAAGCGGGUGUCACCAACAGCAAACGUGCGACCAACUCUUCGGCUAGUGAAUCUCUAAGCCGCGAAGAGUGCUUUGAAGUAGCUUUAGGUGGAAGAUGUCAGAAAGUAACUCGGCAGAGGGUAGCGACAGAAGCGAGGAGCAGGUGUCUGGUGCUAAAGUCAUCGCCCAGGCCCUAAAAACGAUGUGGAGUACAUGUUCGGUGUCGUAGGCAUCCCCGUGACCGAAAUCGCCCUUGCUGCCCAGGAACUGGGCAUCAAGUACAUUGGGAUGAGGAAUGAGCAAGCGGCUUGUUACGCUGCCUCUGCGGUUGGAUACCUAACGGGCAGGCCAGGAGUAUGCCUCGUUGUUUCUGGUCCCGGCCUCAUCCACGCCUUGGGCGGCAUGGCGAAUGCAAACAUGAACUGUUGGCCCUUGAUUGUGAUUGGUGGUUCUUCUGAAAGGAAUCAAGAAGCAAUGGGAGCCUUCCAGGAGUUUCCUCAG